GCCUGGGCGACAGAGCGAGAUUCUGUCUCAAAAAAGAAAAAAAAAAAAAAACGGAGUCUGUCCAGAAUCACACCCAGUCACGCGUGCCUGGUAACGUUCCCGCAGUCAACAACGGCCUUCGUAGACAUCAGAAGUCCCAGGAGAUGGUAAUACUGUAGUUUUCCUGUGUCUUUAUUUGUAGACAUACAAACACCUACCGUUGUGUUAUAGCAGCCUACGGCACUCGGCACACUCAGGUGAGUAGCAGGCCGGGAGCCCGGGGCCCUGCCACACAGCCCAGGUGAGUAGCAGGCUGUGUGUGCCACGGCGGUAUGUGUGAGCGCACCCCGUGAUGUGCACACAAAGAGAAUUGCCGAAGGACGCAUUUCUCAAAACAGGUCCGUGUCGUUCAGUGACACGUAUGACCGUAUCUGUGUGUGUGUGUGUGUGCAGAUGGGUGUGUAUGUACGUAUACACACCUGAACACACACACCUCUACACACAUACCUGUAUAUGGAUAGAACGUAUCAUUUACAGAAUUUAUAAAACACGUAAUUUAUGUUACAUAAAAUACAUAGAAAUCA